GGACCGCUGGCGCAACGGCAGCGCGUUCGAUUCCAGAUCAUCGAAAGGUUGUGAAGAUGUCAAAGUAUAUCUUCAUCUCUCCUCGAUUGGUUAAGAUUAAACAUCGAAAGGUUAUCCGUUCAAAUCGGGUGUGGUUCA